CUGUAACAGUAAAUGACUUUUUGCUACAGUUUAUAUUUGUUCUGCCGUUCAAUGCUAUACAAACUGAUGACAAAGUGACCGCUGGUCAUAUAAUGGACAGCACUACCGUACCUUAGUGUAUGUUUGUAUUAACAAAUAUAUGUAUUUGGACGGAGACUAAUGGAUUUACGUAUCCCGUGACUGAUUUGAUUGAAGUACAACGGUGACAUAUUUAAAAUGACCUUUUACAUUUCAACACUUGUAACACUACCGAAUUUUCAUCAUCUUUAGGUGUUUUUUUUAUGUGAUCGUCAACUCCGUGGUUUCAUAUUUGAGAAUCUGUGUAGUUAUCACAUCAGUGUGUCAUCAUGACUACUACCAAGGCGGAAUAUUUAGCUACAACUCACCUUCCUUACACGAGUCGGGUUUGUGGUCGGAUGUCAAGUGAAAGACCAGAAUCCAAACAGGCUGGCACGCCAAGAGGCCUAGACCUGCGCAGGGCGAGUAAGAACCGGAAGAGGGCGUCUGUAGAUGAUGACACGGAGACGGUUCUGGACCUUACAGUGGCGUCAGUGCCCUAUGACGACACGGGAAAGCGGACAUAUGAGAGGGCGUGUAAAAAGUAUGGAGUCACUCCGUCAUCUCUGUUCCUACGGAACCUCGCGGAAAAGGACAUCGACCUCACAAAUUAUGGUUUAGGACCAAAAGGAGUGAUGGCUGUAUCUGUGGCUCUCGUGGUGAACUCCACUGUGACGUCAUUGGUUCUCAAAGGAAACUGCAUAGACAACGCCGGCGUGUUAUACAUACAACAAAUGAUGACGGAGAAUAUGUCUAUAACAGAUCUGGAUUUGUCCGAAAACAGCCUAGGAACGUACGGAGCCAAAGUGAUGGGUUUAAUGUUAAGGGAAAACAAAGUUGUUCGAUACCUCAACCUGUCAGGGAAUCAAUUUACAGAUCAAGACGCAAUAUACCUUACAAAACAAAUACAGGACCAUUCUAGUCUAGAGCAUGUGGACCUCAGUCACAAUGAGUUUGGAGAUGUAUCAGGACCCGAGUUCGAGAAGAUGAUGUCCUAUCAACGUCAGCCCGACGCUAACCGUGCUUUACUGGCAUUAGACCUAAGUUGGAACCAAUUCAGACUGAUUGGGGCAAAACAUCUGGCAACGGGUAUGAAGGAAAAUGCCUACCUAAAAUACUUGAACGUGUCAUGGAAUGGUCUAGACGACGGCGGCGGAAAGGAUUUCGGUGACGCCAUCGGCAAUAACAACGUCAUAGAGGUCAUUGACCUUUCGUGUUGUAGGAUAGGCCCCGAGGGAUUCGCCGGUAUUUUGAAAGGCCUUAAAAACAACGAUACACUUCAAGAACUACGGAUAGGAAAAAAUAAUAUACCUGAGGAUGCAGCGAACGCCGCAGUGGAGAUGUUUGAUCAGAUGGAGUCCACCGCACUCACUAUGCUAGAUAUGACGGAUGUUAUCCUAGGCCCACACUUUCAGGAUAGGGUAGAUGAACUGAAGGAAAAGCAUGAAGGUUUAGAGAUAAAGUUUGGAUAUGGUGACAUGUACGGCAAACGUAAGAUGGCUGGAUCUGUAGAUGUUGGGGAGGACGCCUUACUCACCAUCAAGGAAUACAUGGACAGACACAAUCUCACCAUAUCCGAACUGUUUGCACGCUUUGACGACGACGGUAGUAAUAGCGUGGACUAUGACGAAUUUCGGGAAGGGAUUAAGGAAGCGAAGAUAGAUCUUACCGAUUUCCAAGUGGACAAGCUCAUAACGUUUAUAGACAUGGACGGCGAUGGAGAUCUUGAUUUUAGUGAAGUGGUUUUAAAAAUGAAAGAGGUGACGAAAAAACGGGAGGCCGAAGACGAACAACGAAAGGAAGAGGCAAAAAACAAAAGGAAGUACUAAGGGGAAAAUUAUGCCAUUGUGAUAUGCAAGACUUAUGGCCAAGCAGUACCUUUCACCUAUACGGAACCUCCUACAUGAUGCGAGAUUCGUGUGUUCGCGUUAGUUUAUAUGGACAUGCUAUUCUCACUAGAAUAUUCAGACACCAACAAGAAACAAACAACUGUUCUUGCAAAUAAGAAUCAUAUAUAUCGAACAUGUUGUAAGAACAAUCGCAAAAAAACAAGAUUUCGUAAAAAGCUAAUAAGAUGUUGAAAUGACCACGACGGUAGUGUCUACAUCUCUCUCAUGGUUAUUACAAAUGAAGAACUUCCACUAAAAUAAUCAUUAUUGAGAGGAAUAGCUGGACUGUUAGACAGUGAAAUAAGUAAUUGCAGGAAGGUCACAAUAUAGUUACAGUGGUGGACUGAUUCAAGGAUAGGAAUAUCAGUAGAUUGGUGGUUGACCCCUCAAUCAGAAUAUCAGUAGAUUGGUGGUUGACUCCUCCAUCAGAAUAUCAGUAGAUUGGUGGUUGACUCCUCCGUCAGAAUAUCAGUAGAUUGGUGAUUGACUCUCCAUCAGAAUAUCAGUAGAUUGAUGUACCGAUUCCAGGAUAGGAAUAUCAGUAGAUUGGUGGUUGACUCCUCCAUCAGAAUAUCAGUAUAUUGGUGGUUGACCCUCCAUCAGAAUAUCAGUAGAUUGAUGGACUGAUUCCAGGAUAGGAAUAUCAGUAGAUUGGUGGUUGACUCUCCAUCAGAAUAUCAGUAGAUUGAUGUACCGAUUCCAGGAUAGGAAUAUCAGUAGAUUGGUGGUUAACUCCUCCAUCAGAAUAUCAGUAGAUUGAUGGACUGAUUCCAGUAUUAGAAUAUUGGUAGAGUAGUCGACUGAUUUCAGAAUUAGACUAUCAGUAGAUUGGUGGAUUGACUCCACGAUCAGAAUAUCAGUGGAUUGAUGGACUGAUUCCAGAAUUAGACUAUCAGUAGAUCGGUGGACUGAAUCCAGGAAUAAAACAUUGGUAGAAUGGUUGACCAUCUACUUGAAGAAUUAUGACAUCAUGUGCUUUCGGCAGAUUCGUCCUUCUGGUGGCAGAUCAGAACCUUUUUAAGCUUAACUGGCGAAACUAUCACAUCCCUGUAUUUUGCUAUUGUGUGUACCUGGUGAAGAGUCGGGUUGGUAAUUAUAUGAUAUAUGAAGAUGAGAUUAUAUGUACAGUGAAUAUGCCCGGUAUGUGUGGGUAGAAAGAUUGCGCGAGAAACUGCAAUAAAAUAUUUUUCAUGGCGCUAUUUUUCUGUGGUUAUGAUUAUAUACCAAACGUGUAUGAAGGUUUGGUGACGAUACCUUGUUUCUUAUCUUCAAUGUUCUACUGAAAUCAAGGCGGCAUCUACCAGCAGAUCAUACCAACAGAUACUAUAGGCAGUAGUAAUGAAGAAGCCACAAUCCGGAAAUACUUCAUAGUAAUGAAAUUCUAUCAUCAAUAAUUAUUAUUAUUAAUAGCUAUGCUACCCUGUAUUACGAGUCGUUUUAACAAGAUGUGAAUGGUCACAUCAGAGACCUUCAAAGAUUGUGUACGUCAGCUAGGAUUACAUCGAUAACAGCAGGUUCGUUAAUCGUAAGUCCUCUUCGAAACCUUCUCACAAUCUAGUUCAUGUAUGAACGGUCAAACUUCGCUUGUGGCAUCACACUUUCUAACGUGCUUGACACCUCACAAUCACCUUCCUGGACAGGAAUGAACUUCGUGUGGAGUGUGUUGUUCCAGUAGCGGUCACACUUAUUGUUGUAAUUGCUGUAGUCGCAGUAAUCCUCAGUACCAUUAAACUGGAGCUGCAGUCGUAUUGUGGUACUAUAUACUCAAGAAAUGGGGGAAAAGGUAGGAGGAUUUUGAAAAAUCCAAGUGCUUUUGAUUGAUCUUGAACAUCCUCUUCUCGAAAAUGUUUCUUCUAUCAACACUUUUAACUUUUCGACCCUUUACAAUACCUCGUACCAAACUGAAGGAACACCUAUGUCCUCUUGCUAUGCGAGCUUUCUAUUCAAAGAAAGGUGUACAGCGAUAUAAAGAUAUGGUUGUAAUUGUUUUGGAGCAUAUUUCGUUCAAGGUAAAACAAAGGCCAAAAUGAAAUAUACUGAGGACGAUAUUGUGAGGAUGAUUGAGUUCCUGGUUGACAAUAUUUAAGUUGAAUUCGGUGGCAACGUUUUCCAGCAGACUGUCGACAUCUUCUAUUCGAUUUUUUUCUGUCUUCAUACGAAACUGUAUUCAUUGAUGAGCUUAUUAGGACUGGUAACCAAAAACCUAGCAAAGUCCUUCAGUUUCACAUUCAGAGAUAUCGAGGAUAUGCUGUCGUGGAUAACAAGAAAUUAAUUGACCAAAUCGAUCGUAUAUACCCGCCAGAGAUUAAAAUCAAGGACACCAGACUCUUCAACUUCAGCCGCUGUCCUCGAUCUUUACUUACAACAUGACCAACAGGGAUGGCUUAUCAGUUUCUUAAUAGCAACUUCCCUGCUUCCCUACCUACGGUGUCUACAUAUUGCAGUAGAUUCGGUACUCAAGGGCUGGCUUCAAAGAUCAUGACUUCCAUGAUAGAUGUCGGCUGCUGAUGGACAAACUUACAACACAGGGUUUCUAAAGAUUGUCGUCAUACGCUAUUUCUUUGUGUGGUAUAAAGGGGUGAAUCAUUUACAUUGGUUUAAAUUCUACAUUCCUUGAACAUGAUUAUAAGAUAUACAGUAAACAAGGCAAAAUAUUGCGAAAUAAUAAUAUCCAAUUUCGGGAUCCAAUAUGUACGAAGGGCCAUAACUCUGUAUACAGUGGGCGCACGAUUCAAUUAUAGCAUGUGACACUAUGUCAUCUCACGAGCUACUAACAUAAAAAUUUGGUACUAAAGAGUACAGAGUAUAUGACAAUGCGGUUCACAGUGAACAAAGGGCCGCUACUCUGUAUAGAAUUGGCGAGAGUACCCAUUUCAGAAUGUGACAAAUUUACUCCCAACAUUCCAAGAGGUACUCUACCCAAACACAAA
rnacentral:misc_RNA from 1 species